rnacentral:lncRNA from 1 species
AGUAUGAGAACUCCUUGUUGAUCGUGUUCAGUGGACUUAUUCUCUAUUGAGCACCUACAUGCUUGUCUUGGUGUGAGUCACACCAAUGACUCGAGACCGGUCACUCUCCCUAAGAGAAGAAAUAACACGUACUGAUCUUAACGGACUGUCAAUGCCCAAUUGGCAAUCCUAUGAUCAAGAACGUUUAGGAUAUGUAUACGGAAGAGAAUGGCCUCAUGAAUCUAACUUCUUUAGAUCGCAUUCUCCCAAUUACAUAUUCCUUGGACUUAUCAUUUAAGCAUAUAACAUUUAUAUGAGAUGGCUUCAAAUAAUAAUCUUUGCCCUUUAAAUUAAACUAUAUUAGUUUAACAUGUGAAAUGUCCGUAAAGUAUCAUCAUAUGAUUGGUUUUAGGGCACAUUUCCAACAAUCUCCCACUUGCACUAUAGCCAAUUAGCUUGGUCAUCAAUGAUGAUACCUCUUCUUAGUGAUUUCAAAAAUGGCUGAGUAGUAGACCUAGACAAUGGAUAUCUGUAUGUUAUCCGUAGAAGCAACCUUGAGAAUAAUGGCGUCACCAUUAUACAUGAUUCUUAAUCAUGUGGUUUAGUCUCUCAUUUGAGUUCGGAUCUUGAUGAGACCUUGAUUCCCUGGCUUGAGCUAUCGCCCCAUUAGUGUCAUCGUGUAAGUACACUGGAGACACUUUCUGGUUCGGACCGAAUAGAGAGUUCAUAAAUGAACUUUCCCAUCCAAACAACAUUGUUGUAAGCUUCUAUAUUGCAAUAUAUUUUGCAUUCACAAUGGAACACACUAAAGUCAUUACUUUUAAUGUUUCCAUCCAAAUAUCUCUUUAGUCAUAAUAAAAGGAUAUCUGAUUAUCUCUUCAUUCAUAAUGAAGAAACAUCCAAUGAUGGAUUAGAUUCAUAAUCUAAUACAUUUAUGCUUCCAUUACGUUACUCUAAUUCUUCCUCAUUCUUUGAGGAAUAUAUCCUUUAGUAUUUCUUAAAUACUUAAGGACUCACUUGACAGUUGCCAUGGUUCUGAUCCUGGGCUUGCAUUGAUAUCGUCUUGUACUGAUCUUAGUACAACUCAUAUCAAUGUUUUUCAUACAAUAUGAAAUACGUAAAUCACCUUUCUGUGUAUGCAUAAUGGAUUCUACUUAUGCAUUAUGUUUCAUUAGGAGUCAAAAGGGUACGUUCCUUUUGAGAAUAGCAACUUCCUAGUCUCACUAGAGUUGUCCUUCUGAUUGAAGUUUAUAAUCAUAUGAGAAACUUCCUAGCAUCUUUUGUCUGUCAUUAGGGCUUAAUAUAAUCCAAUUAUAUCCUGAAAUCUAUCAUUAUAGAUUUCCAUCCCAUGUUUAUAGACUAUGUCUCCCAUAUACAUUCUAUCGUUAUAGAAUGUUUAAAGUCAUAACUUUAACGAAGAAUUAUUCUUUUCAUUUCCAAAAUUAAUAUAUCAUAUAUGUACAUAUAUAUAUAUAUAUAUAUAUAUAUAUAUAUAUAUAUAUUCAAAUUUAGGAACAUGAUUAACUCCCACUUAUCUUUUGUAAACCUAGUAAACAAAAGAUUCAUUUACAUUUUUAUGAGAAAUCAAACGAUUUGAUCUUUCUCUCAUAAGAUGCUUAUAGCUCCCACUAGCUUGCUAAGAUUCAUGAUGAAUGAAUCUCUACAACUUACAUGUCUUGUGAUUCAUAGUUUCAGACAUAUAUUAUCAAGACUAUCUUAAUAAUGGUUUCGGAAACCCAUAUUACGUCCAAACAUUGAAUCACCAUUUAGUUGUAGCUAGCAAUCUUUGAAUCAAUUGAAACCAAGACUAUGUCAAAGAUGGUUUCUUCCAAGUCAACCAUUCUCUUUGAUUGUAGUCACCUUAAGCUACCAAUUAGCUAUGAAGGUUUCAUUAUUUCGGGUCAAAUGGUACUUUACCAUUUCCUUGAGUAUAUGUCGUAUAUACAUUCAAUGUAGUCAUAAGGAUUUUCAUUCUUAUUUCUUUCGAAUUAAGAGGUGUAACUCUAUGAAAUAGUCAUAAAGUUCAAACCAUUCAACUGAGACAGUUUAUAAAUCCUUCUCGACUACCUUGGAGCUUGUGGUGUAGGAACUAGGUUGUUAUAUUUGUUGAUUAUCAUCUUGUCUCUGAAAGAACCCAUUCUUUGAGUUCUAUCUCUCAUUCAUUUGCGCUUAGGCAAAUCAUAUUGUAGGAUUACAAUGAACUACCCAACAAAACAACAUUUGUUAGUU